rnacentral:rRNA from 1 species
UACGGCCGUACCAUGCUGAAUACGCCUGUUCUCGUUAGAUCACCGAAGUCAAGCAUCAUUGGGCGCGGUCAGUACUUGGGUGGGUGACCACCUGGGAACACCGCGUGCCGUU